rnacentral:rRNA from 1 species
CCUACGGGUGGCUGCAGUGGGGAAUAUUGGACAAUGGGGGCAACCCUGAUCCAGCCAUGCCGCGUGUGUGAAGAAGGCCUCGGGUUGUAAAGCACUUUCAGUGAGGAAGAACGCCUGGUGGUUAAUACCCAUCAGGAAAGACAUCACUCACAGAAGAAGCACCGGCUAACUCCGUGCCAGCAGCCGCGGUAAUACGGAGGGUGCGAGCGUUAAUCGGAAUUACUGGGCGUAAAGCGCGCGUAGGUGGCUUGAUAAGCCGGUUGUGAAAGCCCCGGGCUCAACCUGGGAACGGCAUCCGGAACUGUCAAGCUAGAGUGCAGGAGAGGAAGGUAGAAUUCCCGGUGUAGCGGUGAAAUGCGUAGAGAUCGGGAGGAAUACCAGUGGCGAAGGCGGCCUUCUGGACUGACACUGACACUGAGGUGCGAAAGCGUGGGUAGCAAACAGGAUUAGAUACCCUGGUAGUC